rnacentral:misc_RNA from 1 species
GAUGUGGCCAAAGAGAGCUGACAUGGCAAUGGUUGAUGUAGCAGAAAUUUUAUGCAAAUAGGAGCACAGAAAGACUUGGUAAGCACUUCUUGGUUUGGGGUGGAUUUGACCCAACCUGUCGAGUUUUAAAGUUGGAGGUGUUGGAAUGGGUUUCCGACGGCAGGAAUGGGCAGAUUGACAAUAGCAGAGCUGCUAUAAUUGAUCAGAUGCUGAAAAAAUCUAGAAAAUUUGCGAGCCCAGAAUCGGAUCAAGAUCUGAUGCAAUUGGAUCUUCUUUUCCGAGAAGCUGCAGGUGAUCGGAACAGUGUCAGAAGGGUCGCUCCCUGCCAGCAAGUGCUGUGCCGAUGGUGGCAAGGCUGCCUGGUAGCCGAACUGUGGUCAAUAUGUGGGAAGGGUGUUGCCAGCGAUGGGUUUUCUAUUUCUCACGAAUUUGUUUCUUUCUUUCCCUUUUUUUUGUCAUUUGGUCUGUUCUUUGUAGUGGGACUUUUUUCUCCCAUGAGCUAAUGGCCAACUGUUCUAUUUCAUCAUGGAGUAGGACUUUUGUUCCUAUUUGAUUUGAUUUGCAGUUUGUAUAACAAAUAUACACUUUUGAGAAAUGUAUA